rnacentral:rRNA from 1 species
GGAAACCGGGAUUAAUACCAAAUAAAAUCAUAAUGACACAUGUCAUAACGAUCAAAACUCCGGUGGUCUAAGAUGGACUCGCGUCCCAUUAGCUAGUUGGUAGAGUAAAAGCCUACCAAGGCGACGAUGGGUAGCCGGCCUGAGAGGGUGAACGGCCACAUUGGGACUGAGAAACGGUCCAA